GAAGAAACUCCACUUCCGUGUAACGAACCUUAGCUGACUAGGUUCAGACAGGUCACCCCAUGAUCACACUGGGACAACCAAACGCUCACUGGUCUGUCGCUGAGUGUACUUCUGCGUGACAUGAUGGCUGACUCGACAGCCAUGGACUGGGACAACUUGGAUACCAGGGGGUCGGACGACUCUUCCAUCGGGGACGCAGUAUCUGGUAGAGGAGAUGGCGCAUCCCAUGAGGAGGGGGAGGAGGAGGAGGAGGAUCUUUACUACAUUCCUGAGAGGAGACCAUCCCUGGACCUGGGACCGUCUCCAAUGGACACCAGCCAAUGGCAUUUUGUAGACCAGGCUCUGUCUCCAGCUCAGAGCUACAAGUCAUUGAUCAGUGAAAACCCAGAAGAAAAGACGGGCGAGGAGGGAUCCUCU